AACGAACGCUGGCGGCAGGCUUAACACAUGCAAGUCGAGCGCCCCGCAAGGGGAGCGGCAGACGGGUGAGUAACGCGUGGGAAUCUACCCAUCUCUACGGAAUAACGCAUGGAAACGUGUGCUAAUACCGUAUACGUCCUUCGGGAGAAAGAUUUAUCGGAGAUGGAUGAGCCCGCGUUGGAUUAGCUAGCUGGUGGAGUAAAGGCCUACCAAGGCGACGACCCAUAGCUGGUCUGAGAGGAUGAUCAGCCACACUGGGACUGAGACACGGCCCAGACUCCUACGGGAGGCAGCAGUGGGGAAUAUUGGACGAUGGGCGCAAGCCUGAUCCAGCCAUGCCGCGUGAGUGAUGAAGGCCCUAGGGUUGUAAAGCUCUUUCACCGGUGAAGAUAAUGACGGUAACCGGAGAAGAAGCCCCGGCUAACUUCGUGCCAGCAGCCGCGGUAAUAC
rnacentral:rRNA from 1 species